CCGUAGCUAACGCAUUAAGUUCCCCGCCUGGGGAGUACGGCCGCAAGGCUAAAACUCAAAGGAAUUGACGGGGGCCCGCACAAGCGGCGGAGCAUGCGGAUUAAUUCGAUGCAACGCGAAGAACCUUACCAAGGCUUGACAUACACUGGAAACGGCUAGAGAUAGUCGCCUCUUCGGACUGGUGUACAGGUGGUGCAUGGUUGUCGUCAGCUCGUGUCGUGAGAUGUUGGGUUAAGUCCCGCAACGAGCGCAACCCUCGUUCUAUGUUGCCAGCACGUAAUGGUGGGAACUCAUGGAAGACUGCCGGGGUCAACUCGGAGGAAGGUGGGGAUGACGUCAAAUCAUCAUGCCCUUUAUGUCUUGGGCUUCACGCAUGCUACAAUGGCCGGUACAGAGGGUGGCGAUACCGUGAGGUGGAGCGAAUCCCAGAAAGCCGGUCUCAGUUCGGAUCGUAGUCUGCAACUCGACUACGUGAAGUCGGAGUCGCUAGUAAUCGCAGAUCAGCAACGCUGCGGUGAAUACGUUCCCGGGCCUUGUACACACCGCCCGUCAAGUCACGAAAGUCGGUAACACCCGAAGCCGGUGGCCUAACCUUUGU
rnacentral:rRNA from 1 species